GUAGGGAAUAUUGGGCAAUGGACGCAAGUCUGACCCAGCCACGCCGCGUGCAGGAAGACGGCCCUCUGGGUUGUAAACUGCUUUUGACUGGGAAGAAAAGACUCCUUGCGAGGAGAGUUGACGGUACCAGCAGAAUAAGCCACGGCUAACUACGUGCCAGCAGCCGCGGUAAUACGUAGGUGGCGAGUGUUACCCGGAUUUAUUGGGUUUAAAGGGUGCGUAGGCGGCUGAUUAAGUCAGCGGUGAAAGGUAGCAGCUUAACUGUUUUACAUGCCGUUGAUACUGGUUAGCUUGAGUUAACAGAAGGCAGAUAGAAUUUCUGGUGUAGCGGUGAAAUGCUUAGAUACCAGGAGGAAUACCGAUUGCGAAGGCAGUCUGCUGCAGUUACACUGACGCUGAGGCACGAAAGUGCGGGGAUCAAACAGGAUUAGAAACCCCAGUAGUCC
rnacentral:rRNA from 1 species